AAAUUGAAGAGUUUGAUCAUGGCUCAGAUUGAACGCUGGCGGCAGGCCUAACACAUGCAAGUCGAGCGGUAGCACAGAGAGCUUGCUCUCGGGUGACGAGCGGCGGACGGGUGAGUAAUGUCUAGGAAACUGCCUGAUGGAGGGGGAUAACUACUGGAAACGGUAGCUAAUACCGCAUAAUGUCGCAAGACCAAAGUGGGGGACCUUCGGGCCUCAUGCCAUCAGAUGUGCCCAGAUGGGAUUAGCUAGUAGGUGGGGUAACGGCUCACCUAGGCGACGAUCCCUAGCUGGUCUGAGAGGAUGACCAGCCACACUGGAACUGAGACACGGUCCAGACUCCUACGGGAGGCAGCAGUGGGGAAUAUUGCACAAUGGGCGCAAGCCUGAUGCAGCCAUGCCGCGUGUGUGAAGAAGGCCUUCGGGUUGUAAAGCACUUUCAGCGGGGAGGAAGGCGUUAAGGUUAAUAACCUC
rnacentral:rRNA from 1 species